rnacentral:lncRNA from 1 species
CCCCAUAAUCUUUAUUUCAUGGUACUGGUUAUUUCUGGCACAUUACAUAUAGGCACUAUACAUUUAGUUUUGUGACUUUGUUUUCAAUUGAACGACUUAUUCGAGACAUCUUUAUAAGUGGGAUUCUUGUUUCAAUUUACAGUGGACCAUUCAGUUCUACUACUGGGCAUUUGGGUUGCUUCCAUUUUCCCAUUAUUUUAGACAUUGUUGCAAUGAAUACCCUUAUCCACACACCCUUUAUACCUAACUAGCUAGUUCUGAAGAAACAUAUUCACAGAAGAAUCUGUAAGGUUGGUAUCAAAUUAUAUCCCUUCCAUGUUAUUGUCUUUCCCCCAAAUCAUGAAUUCUCAUUUUACAUAUCUUUUACCUUUUAACCUGACCGGCAAGAUACAUUUUUGGUGAAUUUUCCCUGAUUACUAAAAAAGGUCAGCAUCUUCAUGUUUACUGAACAUUUUCCUGCGCAAUUUUCUAUUAAGUCAGGUUCCCUGGAAGCAGCACUUGAAAUGAGGAUUUUUGUGUUAGUGAUUUAUUGAGCAUGCUCUACAAGGCAAGGAGAGACAGGACAGGGCAGGAGAAGAAACAGGCAAAGAUAUGCUUUCAGAAGUAUCUCCUCAGCCUUAUUCCAGCUCAGGGGCAUAAAUCAUGCCAUAGAGGCCAGAGGGUCAGGUGAUAACACCCUGCAUCAGGCAUUGGCCAUGGGCCGACCUCAAGGGGUGGGGGCAUCUUUUGGGUAAAGUGACUACAUCAGCUAAGGGCAAUGCUCUGGGGAAGGGUGAAGAUAAACCAUUAGUACCCAAAUCUGAAGCAGCUGGAGGGAACACCAGCCUGGUCAAAGGGAUUUGGUGGACACUAACAGCACUUACUGAAUUGUGUGUGUGUGUGUGUGUGUGUAUAUAUAUAUAUAUAUACAUAUAUAUAUAUAUAUAUAUAUAUAUAUAUAUAUAUAUAUUUUUUUUUUUUUUUUAGAAAAGUGGGGGGCAAAGGGAGAGGGAAAGAAUCUCGAGCAGGCUCCAGAACCAGUGCAGAGCCUGACAUGGGGCUCAAUCUCAUGAUCCUGAGAUCAUGACCUGAGCCGAAAUCAAGUCAGAUGCCCAACCAACUGAGCCACCCAGGCGCCCCUCAAAUUGCAUGUUCUUAAAAAACAAUUUAUUUUAAAGCUUUUACUAAUGAUGCUAACUUCUCUGCUCUAAGAUGCAUUAUAAAUGUACUUCCCUAGUUGUUUGUACUUUUCUAACAUUAUUUUUAUAGAGGCAAAUUAAUCAAGUUUUCAUGUUUUUUGGCUUUGAUAUCAUUUAGGUUUUUUCUGACCCAAGGUUAUUUUAGAUAAAAAGUUUACCCAUCUUUUCUCUAGUAUUUUAGAAAUUAAAAAAAAAAAACUUUAAUCCACUUGAAUUUAGUAGGGUGUAUAUUGGGUAGAAGAUAAGGAUUGGACUUCUUUUUUUCUUAAAUGAUAGAACAAUGGCUGAUACUUAGUAGGUAACUUCUGUAGAACUGGUUCUCCUCUGAGCCUUCUACAAAUAUUAAUCUACCUAACCCUUGAUAGUGCCAUCGGUGGGGAGAAGAGAUGAAGAAAGUGAGGCACAGAGUGGUUACGUAACUUGUGUAAGGUCACAGGUAGUGAGUAUUAUUAGCAAGUUCAGAUUUUAACACAUGUAGUGUCUUUAGUCUCUGUACUUACUUGUUUUGCUGUACUGCCUUUCUCACAUAGAAAACCAGUUAUACACCAUCACUGAAUUGAAAAAUUCACCAUUUCUUCUUACAAUUGGAAUUGUUCUGGACUCCCAACUCUUUCAUUGGUUUAUAUGAAUUUCUGCACGAGUUACAGUUUUAGUUACUGGAGUCCUGCUGUACUCUGUAAUAUCGGAUGUACAAGUCCCUCCUGUUGUUUUUCUAUGAAAUUUCUUGGCUAUCCUCAUACUUAUUAUUUCAAGAUAUGGUUUAAAAUGCAAACAUAUACACAAGCAAACAAAUAUAUGCAAACAGUUUUGGUUUUGUUAAAUUCAUAAUUUGGGGGAGAAUUUGAUGAACAAUCUCCUCAUCCAAAAAAGUGUCUUCCAAUCUUCUUUAAUUUCCCUUAAGAGUUUUCCUCAUAGAGGUCCUAUGUAUUUCUUACUAACUUAUUUCUUUGUGAAUAGUACCAUCUUUUAAAAUGACAUUUUAGAGCAAUUUAUUAACUAUUACCUUUUGUAUCUUUAGUUUAUAACUGACCACCUUGCUGAACUUUUAAGGUUUGAUUUUGUUGUAAUAAAUCCGUAAUGCAUCAUGUUCUAACAAAGAUAAACACGUGAAGGAAACCCGCCUGCUGCUCUUCACUGAGGACCUGCCAUCAUGCCUAUCUAUUCUGAAUAGCAGGAUAAGUACCUGUCCAUAAACAGAAAGCAGGCACAACUGC